rnacentral:misc_RNA from 1 species
UGCUGCUGCUGCAGAUCUUGAGAGGAGGGCCAGUUCUCGAUCUGUUUGGGCUUUUCAGAUUAGGGUUUUUACUGGUUUUUCUUUCCAAAUGUCGACUCCCUAUCCCAUUCCUGUCACUGCUGCUCAGGUUGGGACGUACUUUGUGGGGCAGUACUAUCAGUUACUACAGCAACAGCCGGAAUUCGUUUACCAGUUUUACAGUGAUGCCAGUACUAUGCUUCGUAUAGAUGGCACUAUUAGAGAAAACGCCACUUCAAUGCUUCAAAUCCAUGCGCUUAUUAUGACACUCAAUUA